rnacentral:rRNA from 1 species
AGGCGCGAAAACUUCACAAUGGGAGAAACCCCGAUGAGGGAAUUCCAAGUGCUAGCACUAUGUGUUAGCUGUUCUUUUGUCUAAAAAACAGAAGAAGUAAGGGCCGGGUAAGACGGGUGCCAGCCGCCGCGGUAAUACCCGCGGCCCGAGUGAUGGUCGAUAUUAUUGAGCCUAAAACGUCCGUAGCCGGUCUUGUAAAUCCUUGGGUAAAUCGGCCAGCUUAACUGUCCGAAGUCCGGGGAGACUGCAAGACUUGGGAUCGGGAGAGGUCAGAGGUACUUCUGGGGUAGGGGUAAAAUCCUGUAAUCCUGGAAGGACCACCGGUGGCGAAGGCGUCUGACUAGAACGAAUUCGACGGUGAGGGACGAAGCCCUGGGGCGCAAACGGGAUUAGAUACCCCGGUAGUCCAGGGUGUAAACGCUGCGGGCUUGGUGUUGGGGGUCCUUUGUGGGCGCCCAGUGCCGGAGAGAAGUUGUUAAGCCUGCUGCUUGGGGAGUACGUCCGCAAGGAUGAAACUUAAAGGAAUUGGCGGGGGAGCAC